rnacentral:misc_RNA from 1 species
GAUGAAGAACGUAGCGAAAUGCGAUACUUGGUGUGAAUUGCAGAAUCCCGUGAACCAUCGAGUCUUUGAACGCAAGUUGCGCCCGAAGCCAUUAGGCCGAGGGCACGCCUGCCUGGGUGUCACACACCGUUACCCUCGCGCCAACGUCCAUCGUUGGCCGCGGCGCGGGGCGUGCGCUGACCUCCCGCGAGCGGGGUCUCGUGGUUGGUUGAAAAUCGAGUUCGCGGUCGAGGGUGCCGUGAUGAAAUGGUGGAUGGGCGACGCCCGAGGCCAAUCACGCGCGACUCUGUCCGGCUUGGACUCCUGGACCCCUUCGGCGUCUCCGGACGCUCUUUGGCGAGACCUCAGGUCAGGCGGGGCUACCCGCUGAGUUUAAGCAUAUCAAAAGCGGAGGA